rnacentral:rRNA from 1 species
AUUGAACGCUGGCGGCAGGCCUAACACAUGCAAGUCGAGCGAGCGGCGGACGGGUGAGUAAUGUAUGGGGACUGCCCGCUAGAGGGGGAUAAAUACUGGAAACGGUGGCUAAUACCGCAUACUAUCGGAUAACCCAUAUGGGAUUAGCUAGUAGGUGGGGUAAAGGCUCACCAAGGCGACGAUCUCUAGCUGUUCUGAGAGGAUGAUCAGCCACACUGGGCCGGGGACACGGCCCAGACUCCUACGGAGGCAGCAGGGGGUAAUAUUGCCAAAUGGGCGCAAGCCGGAGGCAGCCAUGCCGCGUGUAUGAAGAAGGCCUUAGGGUUGUAAAGUACUUGCAGCGGGGCGGCGUUACCCGCAGAAGAAGCACCGGCUAACUCCGUGCCAGCAGCCGCGGUAAUUC